rnacentral:rRNA from 1 species
UACGUAGGUGGCAAGCGUUGUCCGGAAUUAUUGGGCGUAAAGCGCGCGCAGGCGGUUCCUUAAGUCUGAUGUGAAAGCCCACGGCUCAACCGUGGAGGGUCAUUGGAAACUGGGGAACUUGAGUGCAGGAGAGAAGAGUGGAAUUCCACGUGUAGCGGUGAAAUGCGUAGAGAUGUGGAGGAACACUAGUGGCGAAGGCGACUCUUUGGCCUGUAACUGACGCUGAGGCGCGAAAGCGUGGGGAGCAAACAGG